rnacentral:rRNA from 1 species
CGAGUCCGAGUCUCCACGGAGACGAAGUGGCGGUCAUCCAGCUUCCUAGAAAAGCUCUAACCACGUUAAUCUUUAGUUGCCUGUACCCGAAACCGACACAGGUAGGGGGGUAGAAAUACCAAGGGGCGCGAGAUAACUCUCUCUAAGGAACUCGGCAAAAUGACCCCGUAACUUCGGGAGAAGGGGUACCACUGAGAAGUGGUCGCAGUGAAGAGGCCCAGGCGACUGUUUACCAAAAACACAGGUCUCCGCCAAGUCGCAAGACGAAGUAUGGGGGCUGACGCCUGCCCAGUGCCGAAGGUUAAGGAAGUGGGUUAGGGAUUCGUCCCGAAGCUGACGACUGAAGCCCCGGCGAACGGCGGCCGUAACUAUAACGGUCCUAAGGUAGCGAAAUUCCUUGUCGGGUAAGUUCCGACCCGCACGAAAGGCGUAACGAUCUGGGCGCUGUCUCGGAGAGAGGCUCGGCGAAAUAGGAAUGUCUGUGAAGAUACGGACUACCUGCACCUGGACAGAAAGACCCUAUGAAGCUUUACUGUAGCUUGGAAUUGGGUUCGGGCUUGGUUUGCGCAGGAUAGGUGGGAGGCGAAGAAGAUUUGCUUGUGGGUGAAUCUGAGCCAACGGUGAGAUACCACUCUAACCAGGCUAGAAUUCUAACUUCAACCCGUCAACCGGGGGAAGGACAGUUUCAGGUGGGCAGUUUGACUGGGGCGGUCGCCUCCUAAAAGAUAACGGAGGCGCACAAAGGUUCCCUCAGGCUGGUUGGAAAUCAGCCAACGAGUGCAAAGGCAGAAGGGAGCUUGACUGCGAGACCUACAAGUCAAGCAGGGUGGAAACACGGUCUUAGUGAUCCGACGGCACCGAGUGGAAGGGCCGUCGCUCAACGGAUAAAAGUUACUCUAAGGAUAACAGGCUGAUCUCCCCCAAGAGUUCACAUCGACGGGGAGGUUUGGCACCUCGAUGUCGGCUCAUCGCAACCUGGGGCGGAAGUACGUCCCAAGGGUUGGGCUGUUCGCCCAUUAAAGCGGUACGUGAGCUGGGUUCAGAACGUCGUGAGACAGUUCGGUCCAUAUCCGGUGUAGGCGCAAGAACAUUGAGAGGAGUCUUCCUUAGUACGAGAGGACCGGGAAGAACGCACCGCUGGUGUACCUGUUAUCGUGCCAACGGUAAACGCAGGGUAGCCAAGUGCGGAGUGGAUAACCGCUGAAAGCAUCUAAGUGGGAAGCCCACCUCAAGAUGAGUGUUCUCAUGGAGUAAUCCAGUAAGGUCACGGGAAGACGACCCGUUGAUAGGCGGUAGGUGGAAGUUCAGCAAUGGAUGAAGCCGAGCCGUACUAACAGACCGAGGGCUUGACC